AAUCAUCAAGCACUGGGUAUGGUGGCACAUGCUUGUAAUCUCAGGAAAGGAGAGGCUGAGGCAAGAGGAUCACCAGUUCAGAGCUUUUUUUUUUUUUUUUGAUACCAGGAAUCGAACUCACAAACAGGAUUGCCAGGCACCUCAGCUGUUCUGUGAAUGAAGCCCAAAAGAGAGACAGAAAUGGACCAGAUAGCCCUGGCAACAGUGUUAAGGCCCAGCCAUACCCCAGUUUCACCCUAUUUUAGUGUUUAUGAACAGCCAUUCAUUCUGUUUUGCCUCAGCAGGAUAGAGACAGGUUUCUAUUACUUGAAACAGAGAAAAUCAAAAGCCUAAUUCAUACAGAUUUUUUGGCUUCUUGAUUCCCAAGGACAGUGAACUAUAAGAUAUAUUUAUAUCAAAGCAACAUGAUAUCAUAAGAAAGAAUAUGUACUAUGGAGCACAAUAUUUUUGUAGUAAAUAUUAUUUUAAUACUGUUUCCAGCAAGAUAGAUAACCUCAGAGAAGCUAUUUAACUAUAAAAGAAGGUGUAAUGCCUAAACUCAAACUAAUGAAGGUUCAGUGAAUAAAAGAUGAAGUGACAAUAAUGUAAGUGCCUGGCACAUGCUAGGCAUUAACUAUUAAUUUCCUUUGUGACAUUCUGUGAUCAGUGUGCCCAGAAAUAGGAACGAGGUUUUACUAGCUAUAGACUUUUUUAAAAAAUAAAGAUGGGAAUAAAUAUAACACUAAUAAGCAAUUACAA